UGAGUGACAACUUUCCCGAUU
rnacentral:piRNA from 1 species